GAUGAACGCUGGCGGCGUGCCUAAUACAUGCAAGUCGAACGAACAGACGAGGAGCUUGCUCCUCUGACGUUAGCGGCGGACGGGUGAGUAACACGUGGAUAACCUACCUAUAAGACUGGGAUAACUUCGGGAAACCGGAGCUAAUACCGGAUAAUAUAUUGAACCGCAUGGUUCAAUAGUGAAAGACGGUUUUGCUGUCACUUAUAGAUGGAUCCGCGCCGCAUUAGCUAGUUGGUAAGGUAACGGCUUACCAAGGCAACGAUGCGUAGCCGACCUGAGAGGGUGAUCGGCCACACUGGAACUGAGACACGGUCCAGACUCCUACGGGAGGCAGCAGUAGGGAAUCUUCCGCAAAGGGCGAAAGCCUGACGGAGCAACGCCGCGUGAGUGAUGAAGGUCUUCGGAUCGUAAAACUCUGUUAUUAGGGAAGAACAAAUGUGUAAGUAACUAUGCACGUCUUGACGGUACCUAAUCAGAAAGCCACGGCUAACUACGUG
rnacentral:rRNA from 1 species